rnacentral:rRNA from 1 species
GUAUCCUUCGGCGUCAGGAUGAAACGCUGGCGGCGUGCUAAUACAUGCAAGUCGAGCGAACAGAUGAGGAGCUUGCUCCUUUGACGUUAGCGGCGGACGGGUGAGUAACACUGGGUAACCUACCUAUAAGACUGGAAUAACUCCGGGAAACCGGGGCUAAUGCCGGAUAACAUUUAGAACCGCAUGGUUCUAAAGUGAAAGAUGGUUUUGCUAUCACUUAUAGAUGGACCCGCGCCGUAUUAGCUAGUUGGUAAGGUAACGGCUUACCAAGGCAACGAUGCGUAGCCGACCUGAGAGGGUGAUCGGCCACACUGGAACUGAGACACGGUCCAGACUCCUACGGGAGGCAGCAGUAGGGAAUCUUCCGCAAUGGGGCGAAAGCCUGACGGAGCAACGCCGCGUGAGUGAUGAAGGUCUUCGGAUCGUAAAACUCUGUUAUUAGGGAAGAACAAGUGUGUAAGUAACUGUGCACGUCUUGACGGUACCUAAUCAGAAAGCCACGGCUAACUACGUG